GAUGAACGCUAGCGGCAGGCUUAACACAUGCAAGUCGAGGGGUAUAGUUCUUCGGAGCUAGAGACCGGCGCACGGGUGCGUAACGCGUAUGCAAUCUACCUUUUGCAGAGGGAUAGCCCAGAGAGAUUUGGAUUAAUACCUCAUGGUAUGUGAGAAUGGCAUCAUUUUCACAUUAAAGUCACAACGGCAAAAGAUGAGCAUGCGUCCCAUUAGCUAGUUGGUAAGGUAACGGCUUACCAAGGCAACGAUGGGUAGGGGUCCUGAGAGGGAGAUCCCCCACACUGGGACUGAGACACGGACCAGACUCCUACGGGAGGCAGCAGUGAGGAAUAUUGGACAAUGGGCGCAAGCCUGAUCCAGCCAUGCCGCGUGCAGGAUGACGGUCCUAUGGAUUGUAAACUGCUUUUGUACAGGAAGAAACACUGGUUCGUGAACCAGCUUGACGGUACUGUAAGAAUAAGGAUCGGCUAACUCCGUGCCAGCCGCCGCAGUAAGAC
rnacentral:rRNA from 1 species